UACAGAGGGUGCAAGCGUUGUUCGGAAUUAUUGGGCGUAAAGGGUGCGUAGGCGGUGCGGUAAGUCUCUUGUGAAAUCUCCGGGCUCAACCCGGAGCCUGCAAGGGAAACUGCCGUGCUUGAGUGUGGGAGAGGUGAGUGGAAUUCCCGGUGUAGCGGUGAGAUGCGUAGAUAUCGGGAGGAACACCUGUGGCGAAAGCGGCUCACUGGACCACAACUGACGCUGAUGCACGAAAGCUAGGGGAGCAAACAGG
rnacentral:rRNA from 1 species